rnacentral:rRNA from 1 species
UACAGAGGUGGCAAGCGUUGUUCGGAAUUACUGGGCGUAAAGGGCGCGUAGGCGGUUCGUUAAGUCCUGUGUGAAAUCCCCCGGCUCAACUGGGGAACUGCACAGGAAACUAGCGGGCUUGAGUUCGGGAGAGGGAAGCGGAAUUCCGGGUGUAGCGGUGAAAUGCGUAGAUAUUGGGAGGAACACCGGUGGCGAAGGCGGCUAUCUGGACCGGUACUGACGCUGAUACGCGAAAGCCAGGGGAGCAAACGGG